rnacentral:other from 1 species
GGAAGUUUUAAAGGCUCGACGUUCUUUAAGAAUGGCUCCUUUUUACCCCAGCUUUCAAAUGCAAAUAUUAUUGCGCUAUGCGCAUGGAGGUUUCAUUCUUAUGGAACAAGGUACUGUUAAAUGGUUCAACGCUGAUAAAGGUUACGGCUUCAUCACUUUGGAAAACGGCUCAGACGUUUUCGUUCACUUCUCUGCUAUCAACAGUGAAGGCUUCAAGACUCUUGAAGAAGGCCAACACGUAUCCCUUGAUGUAGAACAAGGCGACCGUGGCCCACAAGCUGCUAACGUAUCAGUUGUUGACUAAUUUUUAGUCCAACUUGAGUCGUUAUAAAAACCCAUCAUCUUCGGAUGGUGGGUUUUUU